rnacentral:rRNA from 1 species
UACGUAGGUGGCAAGCGUUGUCCGGAUUUACUGGGCGUAAAGGGUGCGUAGGUGGAUAUUUAAGUCAGAUGUGAAAUACCCGAGCUUAACUUGGGUGCUGCAUUUGAAACUGGAUAUCUAGAGUGCAGGAGAGGUAAGUGGAAUUCCUAGUGUAGCGGUGAAAUGCGUAGAGAUUAGGAAGAACACCAGUGGCGAAGGCGACUUACUGGACUGUAACUGACACUGAGGCAUGAAAGCGUGGGGAGCAAACAGG